CUGGCCACUUUGGUCACCACCCCAGCUGUUCCCCUACGUGCCAACACCUGCCUGCAGAGUGGCUCGUGUGUGCUCACUAACCCAGCCCGGUCAUUGAGGCUGAUGGCUUUCAUCUGCUGGAGAUGCCUCUCCCUACAGCACAUGGGAGGUUCUUCCUCCAGGCACUGGCUGUCCCUGACACAAGUCCUCAGUGCAAUGAGGAAUAAGGACAAGCUGGGCAGAGGCUGUGGUCUUUUACUGAAGGAAGAAAAUGAAGGGAAAUACAUGAUUUAAUUCAGUUUUGUUCAGCAGAGAUGUUUCUUCCACUUUGCUGUUGUUGCUACAAGACCAAAGCUGUAAUUCUCCUGAAAUCCAGAGCAUGCCACCAGAGAAGAAUUGGCACAAUGGUUUUAGUUUCAUGUAAUAUUCCCAAUACUCAGCAACUAAGCACUUUAGAAGAGAAUAAACAAAAUUAAGUAAGCUGUUUGUUCAGCAUGUUCCAACACCCGUCCAUCUGCCUCCCUUUGUACUCAAAGUCCCUCAACCACAACUUUUCUUAUCCGUUACUGUCAAAAAUAUGACUCAUUUUUCACAUAAUAGACUGGGGGAAAAGUACAGAAGUUUUUACACACAAUAAAGCUUUUUCU